rnacentral:rRNA from 1 species
ACUUCAGGACGGGGACAACAGUUGGAAACGACUGCUAAUACCCGAUAUGCCGCGAGGUGAAACCUAAUUGGCCUGAAGAAGAGUUGCGUCUGAUUAGCUAGUUGGUGGGGUAAGAGCCUACCAAGGCGACGAUCAGUAGCUGGUCUGAGAGGAUGAGCAGCCACACUGGGACUGAGACACGGCCCAGACUCCUACGGGAGGCAGCAGUGGGGAAUUUUCCGCAAUGGGCGAAAGCCUGACGGAGCAACGCCGCGUGAGGGAGGAAGGUCUUUGGAUUGUAAACCUCUUUUCUCAAGGAAGAAGUUCUGACGGUACUUGAGGAAUCAGCCUCGGCUAACUCCGUGCCAGCAGCCGCGGUAAUACGGGGGAGGCAAGCGUUAUCCGGAAUUAUUGGGCGUAAAGCGUCCGCAGGUGGUCAGCCAAGUCUGCCGUCAAAUCAGGUUGCUUAACGACCUA